GACGAACGCUGGCGGCGUGCUUAACACAUGCAAGUCGAACGGAGCACCCUUGACUGAGGUUUCGGCCAAAUGAUAGGAAUGCUUAGUGGCGGACUGGUGGGUAACGCGUGAGGAACCUGCCUGUCAGAGGGGGACAACAGUUGGAAACGACUGCUAAUUCCGCAUGACGCAUUGUGAUCGCAUGGUCGAAAUGCCAAAGAUUUAUCGCUGAAAGAUGGCCUCGCGUCUGAUUAGCUAGUUGGUGAGGUAACGGCCCACCAAGGCGACGAUCAGUAGCCGGACUGAGAGGUUGACCGGCCACAUUGGGACUGAGAUACGGCCCAGACUCCUACGGGAGGCAGCAGUGGGGAAUAUUGGGCAAUGGGCGCAAGCCUGACCCAGCAACGCCGCGUGAAGGAAGAAGGCUUUCGGGUUGUAAACUUCUUUUAAGUGGGAAGAGCAGAAGACGGUACCACUUGAAUAAGCCACGGCUAACUACGUGCCAGCCGCCGCAGUAA
rnacentral:rRNA from 1 species